UUCCUACGGGGCGCAGCAGUGGGGAAUAUUGCACAAUGGGGGGAACCCUGAUGCAGCAAUGCCGCGUGGGUGAAGAAGCACUCCGGUGCGUAAAGCCCUGUCAGCAGGGAAGAAAAUGACAGUACCUGGACAAGAAGCCCCGGCUAACUACGUGCCAGCAGCCGCGGUAAUACGUAGGGGGCAAGCGUUAUCCGGAUUUAUUGGGUUUAAAGGGUGCGCAGGCGGAAGAUCAAGUCAGCGGUAAAAUUGAGAGGCUCAACCUCUUCGAGCCGUUGAAACUGGUUUUCUUGAGUGAGCGAGAAGUA
rnacentral:rRNA from 1 species